rnacentral:lncRNA from 1 species
CCCACUCAAGUGACGCACCCCUCCCAGGGACGGCAUGGAAGAACACCAGUAAGCCAGUGACUCAGCCCCCGUAAUAGGGGUAGAGGCAGAGAAUCCCAGUGGAAAGAGGGGAAACCGGCCAGGCAGAGACUCUCCUGCACCUGAUUUCGCCUCCGAUACACACUCCUAACAGAAUCCUACACCAACCAUGGAGUCAGCAGGAGCAGGUACCCCGGUCAGAGGAGUCGAGGAACGCGUCCAGGAACACGUGGCUAUGCUACAUCAUCUCGGUUCCAUGAUGGAUCGCGUUGUCCAGACCAUGGACCGCUGGGAGAGACAGCGCCUCGACCAGCUCAACCGGGGUUAUCUCUACCCGUCCCGUCCGGAUCCAGCUCCAGUUGAAUACGUCUCUCCCUUCCCAGGGAGUAUGAUGGGACAGCCACACAGUGCUAGGGGUUCCUUUUACAACUGGACCUAUACCUGGCCACUGUUCACCCAGCUCCCUCAGGAAGGGAGAGAGUAUCCGCCCUCGUCUCAUGCCUCUUGGGGAGAGCUCAGAGUUGUCAAACGCCGUGUGGAGAGAGACAGACGCGGCGUUGGACCACUUCGAGGAGUUUACCCGGAAAGUUUACCCAUCUUUGACCAUCCGCCCGAAGGUAAAGCGGCGGGUGAACAACUCUUCCAUUUGAGGCAGGGGACGAGGAGCACACAGGAUUUUGUGCUGGAGUUCCGGACCUUGGCCGCCGGAGCAGGAUAGAACGACAGGGCCCUCAUCGACCACUAUCGAUGCAGCUUACGUGAGGACGUCCGACGGGAGUUGGCCUGCAAGGAUGCCACCACCACCACCUUUGACCAACUGGUGGAUAUGUCCAUCCGGUUGGAUAACCUGCUGGUCAUCCGUGGAAGUCCUAAGGGGGCUCUGUCGGUUCCAUCUCCCAGCACUCCCGCUCCGGUGCCCAUGGAGUUAGGAGGGGCUGCGCAUAGGGAGGCUGGAGGAGGAGCCUUCACAUGCACCAUCUGUGGCCGCAGAGGGCACACUGCCGGUCGGUGCCGGGUUGGUCCCUCUGGGAGUCGAGGCAGCAGGCAGGGCACUCUGACGUCACCCCAGGCCGGUGGUGGCUGGUCCACUCCAGGAGUCUGAGGUACGGGAGGUUCCUCCGCCUCCUCUGGACAUCAAGGGGACCCCGGCGUACUCCGUCCGUUCCAUCCUGGAUUCAAGGCGUCGGGCGGGGGCCCUUCAGUACCUCGUGGAGUGGGAGGGGUAUGGUCCGGAGGAGACGUGCUGGGUUCUGGUGGCGGAUGUAUUAGACCCUGAACUACUGCGGGAGUUCCACCGUCGCCGGCCGGAUCGCCCUGCGCCUCGCCCUCAGGGUCGUCCCCGAGGCCGGUGUCAACGCACCGCUGGAGCCGCGCGUCGGGGGGGAGGGGUACUGUCACGACUUCCGCCGAAGUCGGCUCCUCUCCUUGUUCGGGCGGCGUUCGGCGGUCGACGUCACCGGCUUUCUAGUCAUCGCCGCUCCAUUUUUCAUGUAUCCAUUUGUUUUGUCUUGUUCCCCGCACAGCUGGUUUUCAUUCCCCAAUCAAUUCAUAUGUAUUUAUUCCUCUGUUCCCCAUCAUGUCUUUGUGUAGGAUUGUUUGUGUUACGUGUAUUUUGAUAUUGUGGAUAUUGUUACACGCAUUACUUUUUGUCUAUGUUCUGUGUUUUGGGCACAUUUUAUGUUAUUUUUGUGCUGUCAUUUUGACCGGAAUAAAAGUGUGCCUGCUCACGACACUCUGCUCUCCUGCACCUGACUUCGCCUCUGAUACACACUCCUAACAAUUCUAAAGCGUGCAUUAUUUCCCUAUAAUGCACAGUAUAUUUGCACGGUAGAAUUCAAUGGCUAUAGUUCAUUUUUACAUGUUUUGUUUGAGCUGCUUUUGAAAGCACAGGUGAAUUGAAAACAGUAUAUGUAUUGUUGAAUUCGAUUUUCAUAACAGCAAGCUAGGACUGAUGCUUUGGUUAGCUAAACUAGCAAGUCUGUUUAUUUGGUUACCACGGCAACUACUGUAGCUAUCUAGUAAAUUUGCUAGCUACUUCAGUGGAUGUUGAACACAUAUCUACCGGCAACUGAACACAUUUCUAGCGGCAAAUAUGUUAAUUUAUAGCCAUGGUAUAUAAUGUAACUCUGUGGAAGGUAUGUUCCACUCUGCUAGCUGGUUGUUCAUUAUUUUCCAUUGAAU